rnacentral:rRNA from 1 species
UGGGGAAUUUUGGACAAUGGGCGAAAGCCUGAUCCAGCAAUGCCGCGUGUGUGAAGAAGGCCUUCGGGUUGUAAAGCACUUUUGUCCGGAAAGAGAUCCUUGGCUCUAAUACAGUCGGGGGAUGACGGUACCGGAAGAAUAAGCACCGGCUAACUACGUGCCAGCAGCCGCGGUAAUACGUAGGGUGCAAGCGUUAAUCGGAAUUACUGGGCGUAAAGCGUGCGCAGGCGGUUUGCUAAGACCGAUGUGAAAUCCCCGGGCUCAACCUGGGAACUGCAUUGGUGACUGGCAGGCUAGAGUAUGGCAGAGGGGGGUAGAAUUCCACGUGUAGCAGUGAAAUGCGUAGAGAUGUGGAGGAAUACCGAUGGCGAAGGCAGCCCCCUGGGCCAAUACUGACGCUCAUGCACGAAAGCGUGGGGAGCAAACAGGAUUAGAUACCCUGGUAGUCCACGCCCUAAACGAUGUCAACUAGUUGUUGGGGAUUCAUUUCCUUAGUAACGUAGCUAACGCGUGAAGUUGACCGCCUGGGGAGUACGGUCGCAAGAUU